CACGCCGUAANCGCUGAGUGCUAGGUGUUAGGUCCUUUCCGGGACUUAGUGCCGACGCUAACGCAUUAAGCACUCCGCCUGGGGAGUACGACCGCAAGGUUGAAACUCAAAGGAAUUGACGGGGGCCCGCACAAGCGGUGGAGCAUGUGGUUUAAUUCGAAGCAACGCGAAGAACCUUACCAGGUCUUGACAUCCCGAUGCCCGCUCUAGAGAUAGAGUUUUUCUUCGGAACAUCGGAGACAGGUGGUGCAUGGUUGUCGUCAGCUCGUGUCGUGAGAUGUUGGGUUAAGUCCCGCAACGAGCGCAACCCUUAUUGUUAGUUGCCAUCAUUAAGUUGGGCACUCUGGCGAGACUGCCGGUAAUAAACCGGAGGAAGGUGGGGAUGACGUCAAAUCAUCAUGCCCCUUAUGACCUGGGCUACACACGUGCUACAAUGGUUGGUACAACGAGUCGCAAGCCGGUGACGGCAAGCUAAUCUCUGAAAGCCAAUCUCAGUUCGGAUUGUAGGCUGCAACUCGCCUACAUGAAGUCGGAAUCGCUAGUAAUCGCGGAUCAGCACGCCGCGGUGAAUACGUUCCCGGGCCUUGUACACACCGCCCGUCACACCACGAGAGUUUGUAACACCCAUAGUCGGUGAGGUAACCAUUUAUGGGGCCAGCCGCCUAAGGUGGGANGGA
rnacentral:rRNA from 1 species